AUGUCACUAAAAUGUACACAGCACCCUGGAUCCUCACUGUGGAGAAGGAAAAACUAGCACCUGAGUUUCAACACAGAGGUGAUGUUGACUAGAAGCCUUCACUGGGCCAACAGGACUGGUCAUUUGUUUUUUGUUGUUAAAGGACAGACAGCUUGAGCAAACCACUUUCUUUCGUGCGUGCCUACUUCUGAUGGGACUUCUUCAAGAACAGACACUGCCCGCACAUUAGCCUUAAGAGGCAGCUUAGAGUACGCCCGAUAAACUUCCGCUGUGAAGCAUCAGCCCCAGCAUAAUAAAGAACACAGUCACCUUCCUGCCAGUGUCUGGGAAGAAAAGUGAUGCCUGGAGGCUCCAGUUGGUGAACAAAUUCAAAGUCGUUAUUUGGUGAAAAGAAUAUAAUUUUCAGAAAGUUAAACAAAUCCACAAGUGAGAAAUUUGACAUUGUAAAAGAAGUGAGAAAUUCUGCCUGCCAGGGGGACUUGAGAGGAGGUAAGGAGACGUAUGUCUGAGCUGAUGUAUCAUCAUCCCAGCAUGUUGGGGCCAAAGGCAAUGUUGAAAAGGUCAGAGAUUGGACUGAUUCAAACACAGGAUGAAACGUGAGGGUGAAGGCUGAAGAGCUGAACUCAGAUCUGGGACAGGAGCUCAUAUUCUGAAGGAAAGCUUGUUCACGGGGAGAGCUUCUGUGCCAGGUGCUGCAAGCGAUGCACGGAACCAGCAAGCCUGACAUUUGCUCUGAUCUUCUAGAGAGGACUGAUAAAACUGUGCUUUCUGAAGAGAUGCACAAGGAAGGAGCCACGAAGACGGGUCCCACACUGCAGAGCCAGGCCUCUGAGAAGAGCAGAGCUCUGGCCUCCAUGCACCUCCAAGCACCUUUGUGAACCCCUCUAUUUAACCAGCACAUUUGCUGAUGCACGCUAGGAUGGGAUAUAGCACUGAACCUCAAGCUCACCAGUUCAUUUUGUCUGGCUGGCUGUUAAGCCAUAGACAUCCUUCUGUCUCUGUCUCCUGUCACCCCAGAGUUGAGAUUACAGGCUAUAUGUAAGAGUAUAAGAAUGAGCUGUAUCUCCCUGCUGAACCCUGGAAUAGAAGGUAGAUGUCAGAAAGACACUAAAGUCAUCAAAAUACAGUUCAGAGUUGUUUACAGAGCACAGGGGUCAGGCCUCGACCCAGACCAGCACAGCAUUCAGCAGUGUUCACUGGGAGGAGUGGAGAAAUCUGCCACUACCUGCCCUGCUUUCCUCUGGAACAGAUGAACAGCCAGACCACCUGCAGCAUAAGCCAAGAGGCUACACCUGCAGUGCACAUAUCUACAAGUGGAAGGAGCCUUCCACAGUCCACACUGAAGCUCAGUUUCCAUAGCCGGUUCCUGGAAGCACCCCACCCCCCAAUCCCAGCAGCUGGAGCAGGAAGAACGCACUAUGUUUGGGGGAGUCAAGGCAGCCCACCUCCUCCAUCAGACACCUUCUGAUCAAUGAGAAAUCUCUUAACUUGGAAUCCUGCUUACUAAAAGACAUUGAUUGGUGCAUGCAACACAGCAAAUCCCACAGUGGACGGAAGAUGAGUGACACUGGCUGUCACCUUCUACAAGACGAGUUAUCACCUUCUACAAGCAAAAUAUAAGGCAGAGGAUUUGAAGGGCAGGAAGAUAACUAUUGCACACCUAAGAAGAAGUGGUCUGGGCCUGUGAUGAUGAGCUCAUGGCACACGUCCACACUGUCUUGUAGAUGUAAUUCUAAACAGUCUUAUUAAAUAAGAAACACAGAGUCAAAUGAAGAGUUAAAAGCCCAGAGAUCAAGCAGUAGCCAAGAGCUAAGACCACGUUAUCUUACCACUU